UAGAGAUUAUCAGUGUCUUUUGGAGC
rnacentral:piRNA from 1 species